rnacentral:rRNA from 1 species
AGAAUCAACGCUGGCGGCGUGCCUAACACAUGCAAGUCGCACGAGAAAGGGGAGCAAUCCCUGAGUACAGUGGCGCACGGGUGAGUAACACGUGAAUAAUCUACCUCCGAGUGGGGAAUAACUGAGAGAAAUCUUAGCUAAUACCGCAUAAUACCCACGGGUCAAAGCAGCAAUGCGCUUGGAGAGGAGUUCGCGGCAGAUUAGUUAGUUGGCGGGGUAAUGGCCCACCAAGACGAUGAUCUGUAUCCGGCCUGAGAGGGCGCACGGACACACUGGAACUGAAACACGGUCCAGACUCCUACGGGAGGCAGCAGUGGGGAAUUUUGCGCAAUGGGGGAAACCCUGACGCAGCAACGCCGCGUGGAGGAUGAAGCCCCUUGGGGUGUAAACUCCUUUCGAUCGGGAAGAUAAUGACGGUACCGAUAUAAGAAGCCCCGGCUAACUUCGUGCCAGCAGCCGC